rnacentral:rRNA from 1 species
CAGGACGAACGCUGGCGGCGUGCCUAACACAUGCAAGUCGAGCGGGGACAUACGACGGAUAGGAAGUUUCGGAUGGAAUUGAAGAUGUAUUGUUCUAGCGGCGGACGGGUGAGUAACGCGUGAGCAACCUGUCCCUUACAGGGGGAUAACACAGCGAAAGUUGUACUAAUACCGCAUAAGACCACGGGGAGACAUCUUCCAGGGGUCAAAGGAGCAAUCCGGUAAGGGGUGGGCUCGCGUCCGAUUAGAUAGUUGGUGAGGUAACGGCCCACCAAGUCGACGAUCGGUAGCCGACCUGAGAGGGUGAUCGGCCACAUUGGGACUGAGACACGGCCCAAACUCCUACGGGAGGCAGCAGUGGGGAAUAUUGGGCAAAUGGGGGAAACCCUGACCCAGCAACGCCGCGUGAGGGAAGAAGGUUUUCGGAUCGUAAACCUCUGUCCUUGGUGAAGAGGAAGAGACGGUAGCCAAGGAGGAAGCCCCGGCUAACUACGUGCCAGCCGCGGC